UACAGAGGGUGCAAGCGUUGUUCGGAAUUACUGGGCGUAAAGCGUGCGCAGGCGGUUUUGUAAGCCAGAUGUGAAAUCCCCGGGCUUAACCUGGGAAUGGCAUUUGGGACUGCAAGGCUGGAGUGUGGCAGAGGAGACUGGAAUUCCCGGUGUAGCAGUGAAAUGCGUAGAUAUCGGGAGGAGUACCGAUGGCGAAGGCAGGUCUCUGGGCUGACACUGACGCUCAUGCACGAAAGCGUGGGGAGCAAACAGG
rnacentral:rRNA from 1 species